UGGGGAAUAUUGCACAAUGGGCGCAAGCCUGAUGCAGCCAUGCCGCGUGUAUGAAGAAGGCCUUCGGGUUGUAAAGUACUUUCAGCGAGGAGGAAGGCGUUGUGGUUAAUAACCGCAACGAUUGACGUUACUCGCAGAAGAAGCACCGGCUAACUCCGUGCCAGCAGCCGCGGUAAUACGGAGGGUGCAAGCGUUAAUCGGAAUUACUGGGCGUAAAGCGCACGCAGGCGGUCUGUCAAGUCGGAUGUGAAAUCCCCGGGCUCAACCUGGGAACUGCAUCCGAAACUGGCAGGCUAGAGUCUUGUAGAGGGGGGUAGAAUUCCAGGUGUAGCGGUGAAAUGCGUAGAGAUCUGGAGGAAUACCGGUGGCGAAGGCGGCCCCCUGGACAAAGACUGACGCUCAGGUGCGAAAGCGUGGGAGCAAACA
rnacentral:rRNA from 1 species